rnacentral:lncRNA from 1 species
AAGGGUAGGGGUCAGCGCAGUUAGGGAAUCCGUGAGGCUCCUGUUACUGCGCAUGCUCUAAGCUCCAAGCCCACAACCUCCUUGGAAAGAACACUACCGCCAACGCUAGCGCUACGGGGCAGAUGUGGUUGUGGGUUUUGUGCCUGCGGAGGAUAUGUAAUGACAGCACAAGUUUGUGGACAGAGGGACAACCAUGACAAACAGGCUUCUUGGAGAACAAGGGGAGUCCAGUUCAGUUGCUAGAGUCAACAUAUAGUGUGCUUCCUGUGAUUGGUGUGGUUCUCAGGUGCUUGCUGUAAAUUUGGGCAGUGUUAAAGGGAUGGCAUUUCUAUGUUUGGUCAACCUGAUAGUGCUUGUACCAUAAUCAUCCAUAAUCAUAUAAGAUGGUGAAAUGGGU